rnacentral:rRNA from 1 species
GCUUGUCUCAAAGAUUAAGCCAUGCAUGUCUAAGUAUAGUACCUUAUACUGCGAAACUGCGAAUGGCUCAUUAAAUCAGUUAUAAUUCAUUUGAUGGUACUUACUACUCGGAUAACCGUAGUAAUUCUAGAGCUAAUACAUGCACUCGAGCCUCGACCGAGGCCCCGGCAACGGGGUCGCGGAAGAGGUGCUUUUAUUAGAUCAAAACCAGUCGGGGAAACGAUCGCCGGGUCAAACCGGUCGGUCGCGGAACCGUACCAAUUUUGGUGACUCUGGAUAACUUCACGCCGAUCGCACGGCCUUCGCGCCGGCGACGUAUCUUUCAAAUGUCUGCCUUAUCAACUGUCGAUGGUAGGUUACGCGCCUACCAUGGUUGCAACGGGUAACGGGGAAUCGGGGUUCGAUUCCGGAGAGGGAGCCUGAGAAACGGCUACCACAUCCAAGGAAGGCAGCAGG